rnacentral:rRNA from 1 species
GGACCAAGGAGUCUAGCAUGUGCGCGAGUCAUUGGGAUAUUUCUAAACCUAAAGGCGUAAUGAAAGUAAAGAUUCGUCUCGCACGAAUUGAGGGAGGACGAGCGGUUUGCCCUUAAAGUGGCCGUUCCGCACUCCCGGGGCGUCUCGUUCUCAUUGCGAGAUGAGGCGUACCAAGAGCGUACACGCUGGGACCCGAAAGAUGGUGAACUAUGCCUGGUCAGGACGAAGUCAGGGGAAACCCUGAUGGAGGUCCGUAGCGAUUCUGACGUGCAAAUCGAUCGUCGGAACUGGGUAUAGGGGCGAAAGACUAAUCGAACCAUCUAGUAGCUGGUUCCCUCCGAAGUUUCCCUCAGGAUAGCUGGCGCUCGUAGCUUACGAGUUUCAUCCGGUAAAGCGAAUGAUUAGAGGCAUUGGGGUCGAAAUGAUUUCAACCUAUUCUCAAACUUUAAAUGGGUGAGAUCUCCGGCUUGCUCGAACUUAUGAAGCCGCGAGUGAUAUUUCGAAUCAGAGUGCCAAGUGGGCCAUUUUUGGUAAGCAGAACUGGCGCUGUGGGAUGAACCAAACGCCGAGUUAAAGCGCCUAAAUCGACGCUUAUGGGAUACCAUGAAAGGCGUUGGUAACUUAAGACAGCAGGACGGUGGCCAUGGAAGUCGGAAU